UACAGAGGGUGCAAGCGUUAAUCGGAAUUACUGGGCGUAAAGAGUGCGUAGGUGGUUGGAUAAGUUAGGUGUGAAAUCCCUGGGCUCAACCUAGGAACUGCGCUUAAAACUGUUCGGCUAGAGUAUUGUAGAGGAUAGUGGAAUUUCCAGUGUAGCGGUGAAAUGCGUAGAUAUUGGAAGGAACACCAGUGGCGAAGGCGACUAUCUGGGCAAAUACUGACACUGAGGCACGAAAGCAUGGGGAGCAAACAGG
rnacentral:rRNA from 1 species